UACGAAGGUCCCAAGCGUUAUCCGGAAUUAUUGGGCGUAAAGAGCAUGUAGGCGGUUUACUAAGUUCGAUGUGAAAGCUCUAGGCCUAACCUAGAAAUUGCAUUGAAAACUGGUGAACUAGAAUACUGGAGGGGCAAGUGGAAUUCCAUGUGUAGCGGUGGAAUGCGUAGAUAUAUGGAGGAACACCAAUGGCGAAGGCAGCUUGCUGGACAGUAAUUGACGCUGAGAUGCGAAAGCGUGGGGAGCAAACAGGAUUAGAUACCCUGGUAGUCCACGCCGUAAACGAUGUGCACUAGAAGUCGGGAUAACUCGGUUUCGAAGCUAACGCAUUAAGUGCACCGCCUGGGGAGUACGGUCGCAAGGCUGAA
rnacentral:rRNA from 1 species